rnacentral:rRNA from 1 species
AAUCAACGCUGGCGGCGUGCCUAACACAUGCAAGUCGAACGCGAAAGCCCCGCAAGGGGUAAGUAGAGUGGCAAACGGGUGAGUAACACGUGGGUGACCUGCCUUCGAGUGGGGGAUAACGUCCCGAAAGGGACGCUAAUACCGCAUGACAUCCUGCUUUUGAAAAAGCGGAGAUCAAAGCUGGGGAUCGCAAGACCUAGCGCUUGAAGAGGGGCCCGCGCCUGAUUAGCUAGUUGGUGAGGUAACGGCUCACCAAGGCGACGAUCAGUAUCCGGCCUGAGGGGGCGGACGGCCACACUGGGACUGAGACACGGCCCAGACUCCUACGGGAGGCAGCAGUGGGGAAUUGUUCGCAAUGGGCGCAAGCCUGACGACGCAACGCCGCGUGGAGGACGAAGAUCUUCGGGUCGUAAACUCCUGUCGAGCGGGACGAACGCUUCGCGGAUGAAUAAUCCGCGGAAUUGACGGUACCGCUAAAGGAAGCCCCGGCUAACUCCG